UUGUUGAUCAUAUUUCUGUGUAUUCAGAAAUAUUAGUUGAUGUCAGCGCUGAUAUUAGUGUUUAUUGACUGAUCUGAUCUCAGUUUGAUGUGUUUAUUCCUCAGACUCUGUCCACUGUUGUGGUCCUACUGAAGCUGUGAUCCGAUUGGUCCUCUCUGCUCUGGUGGGCGUGGCUACUGUCAUCAUUCUGGUUUAUGACAUCAGAUCCAGAAGAGCUGAACAAGAUCAAGCACAUAUUCACACAUCAGGAAGUAUUGAAAUCUAAAGCAGAACGCUGAACUUUAAAGGUUCUUCAAGUGUGUUUUUUUGUUCUUCUAGUGUUUUUUUUUCCAUAAUAAAUACUGAAUAAUUGAGCUUGACGAUUUUUGAGGUUUAAAGAAAAUCUUAUUUGUAAGCCUUUAUUGUUUAUAUUUCUCUCAGAUACAAAAAAAUAAUAAUAAAGAGACAUAGAUCUCACUUUACUAUUGCUGUAUAUUUGCUGUAUGUAUUUUCUUGCCUUUAUCAAUAAAGUUUCUCACUCUGAGUAUCAA